UUUUUAAUAAUUGAAAGAGUUAUGAGAUAGAUGUUUGCGCCUAAAUCAAUGAGUGUGUUUUUAACACUUACAUUUCCUAUAGUAGUAGGCAACCUAACUCUUCAUGUAUCAUGCUCCUUUUGAGGUAUGUUCCUUUGAAUGAUGCUGCUACAACUAACCUCCAACUUUAUGUUCUCAUCAUAAACAUAUAUUUUAGUUUUUG
rnacentral:lncRNA from 1 species